rnacentral:rRNA from 1 species
GACAGAGGAUGCAAGCGUUAUCCGGAAUGAUUGGGCGUAAAGCGUCUGUAGGUGGCUUUUUAAGUCCGCCGUCAAAUCCCAGGGCUCAACCCCUGGACAGGCGGUGGAAACUACCAAGGCUGGAGUACGGUAGGGGCAGGAGGGAAUUUCCGGUGGAGCGGUGAAAUGCGUAGAGAUCGGAAAGAACACCCAACGGCGAAAGCACUCUGCUGGGCCGACACUGACACUGAGAGACGAAAGCUAGGGGAGCGAAUGGG